rnacentral:lncRNA from 1 species
UGCGCCACUAAUUUAUUAUAGUUAACAAUGACUUGUGAAGUUUAUUACCAAGAUCGUCAAGAUUACCCAUUUAUUUAAUAGUGGGUAAGUGUAAACUUUAAUUGUUAUACAGCAAUCGAGGAGUGGUAGCGCGUAAAGCGACACCUAAUAGAAGAUAUUCGAACUCUUUACUGUGUUGAUGAUGGAGAAAGAGUCGUACACUCGUAAGUUACUUUAGAUUGUCUUACGUUAAAUUUAGAGUUCAACCUGCCAACGGGCCGGCCAGUUUGCAUGUCCUUCACGCUUGAAGGUCGCGGGGAAAAUUACGUAAAACUGUCAAUGCGGUGGUGUAGAGGUUGGGUGAGAACUGGACGUGUUGCAUCAUUAUUAAGCAGACCCAUCCCCAGCAACGUAAACCAAAAGAAGGAAAGGCCAUUUUCUUCACGCUCGAAGGUCGAAACAAAAACGUAAAACGUGUCAUGCGACGGGGAAGAGGUUGGGUGAGGACGACACGUGCUACCUCAUUAUCAAGCAGGUACAAUAGCCGCAAGGCUUAAGAGGUGGGUCAGGGUGAGAAAAAGAAAAAGUCGUAUAAAAGGCGAGAGAAAAGGCUACGGAACUCAGUUGAGUGAGCUUCUCCGACACGGCAACAACUGCUGUGCACUUAUGGUCACCAACUGCAUUUUCCGUCGCAAAUACAGUUAACUAUGGCGUCAUACUGCUGUUUGGUGUUGUGUCUAGCUGAUGGGCCAGGAAUCAGUCGAUGUCCGGCUGACGACGGCGUCUUUGAGCGGAGUCACUGCCAGCCACUGCAAGCCCACCGGUGAAUAUUUCGAUGUCGUUGACGCUGUAGACGCUGGCCAGGAGGACGAUUUGGUGGAUGAGACGCGUUGCAACGAUUCCUAAUUCCCCGAAGUCAACCUGCAGAUGGUUUGGUUAGUUUGCUUUUCCUUCACGCUAGAUAGUCAGGCGGAACAUUACGUAAAACUGUCAUGCGGUGGUGUAGAGGUUGGUUGAGAAUCGUGUAAUAGUGCAGAGGUUGGGUGAGAAUGACACGUGUUGCAUCAUUUUGGAGUGAGUACAGUAAUGCAAGGCUUAAGAGGUGAAUCAGGGCAGGGUGAGGAAAAUUCGUAUAAAAGGAGAGAGAACAGGCGAUAGAAUUUAGUCGAGUGAGCACCUUUGACACGUCAACAACUGCAGUGCACUUAUUGUCACCAACUGCCUUCUCCGUCGCAAUGAUGGUUAAUUAUGGCGUCGUGCUGCGUUCGGAUGGUUGAUGGAAUGAUGGCUGGGUCGACCACUGGUGUACCGAUGUCUCCUGGGUAUGGCGGAUGUCAAACCGCAAUGCCACCACCUUACUACACAACAUAAAAACACGGAACAGCCGUAUACUACUCCGAGGAUCCCGAGUACCCUAAGUUCCACUCAGUUCCUAGCUACAUUGAGGGUCCAAUUAUUUCACCACCGAAGCGUCUAAGUACUACACCACCAAGGCACCGGUACACGAUUCUGGAUGCUUCCGCAGCUUACUACACCGAGGCUCCACAGUACUACACCACUAAAGGACCGGAGUAGCCAACAUACGCUGCCCCAGCUUAUUACACCGAGGCCUUCAAGUACUUCACUACCAAGGCACCGGAGUACUACACUACUACCUACGCUGCUCCAGCUUUCUACACCACUACCCACGCUGCUCCAGCUUACUACACCGAAGCAUCCAAGUACUACUCUGCCCCGAACUACACAACUACAACUGAGGCGACCAAGUGCUACGUAGCCCAGACUUACAACACAGCAGCUGCUCCUUCGUACUACGUUGAACUGUAAUACUACACCGAGGCUCCAGUUAACUAAACCACAACCUACGCUACACCUAGAUAUUACGACGAAGCCCCCAACUACUACUAUACCGAAAAGGCCACGCAUUACACAAUCACGUACACUACCCCAGUUUACUUCACUAAGUAUAACUCUGCUCCAAGCUACUACCAAACUGAGGCUCCUGUUUACUACACCAAGGCCACCGGGUAUUACACUACAACCAAAUGUUAACUAUGGCGUCGUGCUACUGUUGGAUGUUGUAUCCUUGUUGGUUUAGUCAACCGAUGUCUCGGUGGAAUAUGGAUACAACCGCAACGCCGCCUUCUUAUAACACAACAACAUACGCAACAACCGGUUACUUCACCACCAAUUCUCCGGAGUAUAAUCCACAACUGAUGUCCCGAAUUACUACACCCGAGGCCCCAAAGUAUAACACCACCAAGUCACCCGAGUACUUCACCGCCGUUACCAUUUCCCGAACUACACCACCAAGGCAGCGGAGUACUACACCACCAAGGCAGCGGAGUACUACACCACCAAGGCAGCGGAGUACUA